rnacentral:rRNA from 1 species
AAUCAACGCUGGCGGCGUGCCUAACACAUGCAAGUCGAACGCGAAAGGGGCUUCGGCUCUGAGUAGAGUGGCGAACGGGUGAGUAACACGUGGGUGACCUACCUUCGAAUGGGGGAUAACGUCCCGAAAGGGACGCUAAUACCGCAUAACAUCCUGUCCUUGAAGAGAUGGAGAUAAAAGCUGGGGGUCGCAAGACAUGGCGUUUGAAGAGGGGCCCGCGUCCGAUUAGCUAGUUGGUGAGGUAACGGCUCACCAAGCCAACGGUCUGUAGCUGGUCUGAGAGGACGACCAGCCACACUGGGACUGAGACACGGCCCAGACUCCUACGGGAGGCAGCAGUGGGGAAUUUUGGACAAUGGGCGCAAGCCUGAUCCAGCAAUGCCGCGUGCAGGAAGAAGGCCUUCGGGUUGUAAACUGCUUUUGUACGGAACGAAACGGUCCUGGUUAAUACCUGGGGCUAAUGACGGUACCGUAAGAAUAAGCACCGGCUAACUACGUGCCAGCAGCCGCCGUAAAAC